rnacentral:rRNA from 1 species
AUUGAACGCUGGCGGCAUGCCUUACACAUGCAAGUCGAACGGCAGCACGGGAGCAAUCCUGGUGGCGAGUGGCGAACGGGUGAGUAAUAUAUCGGAACGUGCCCAGUAGUGGGGGAUGACUGCUCGAAAGAGCAGCUAAUACCGCAUACGACCUAAGGGUGAAAGGGGGGGAUCGCAAGACCUCUCGCUAUUGGAGCGGCCGAUAGCAGAUUGGCUAGUUGGUGGGGUAAAGGCCUACCAAGGCAACGAUCUGUAGUUGGUCUGAGAGGACGACCAGCCACACUGGGACUGAGACACGGCCCAGACUCCUACGGGAGGCAGCAGUGGGGAAUUUUGGACAAUGGGCGCAAGCCUGAUCCAGCAAUGCCGCGUGCAGGAAGAAGGCCUUCGGGUUGUAAACUGCUUUUGUCAGGGAAGAAAUCCUCUAGGUUAAAACCCUUGGGGGGAUGACGGUACCUGAAGAAUAAGCACCGGCUAACUACGUGCCAGCAGCCGCCGUAACAC